rnacentral:rRNA from 1 species
GAUGAACGCUAGCGGCAGGCCUAAUACAUGCAAGUCGGACGGGAUUCAGGAGCUUGCUUCUGAUGAGAGUGGCGCACGGGUGCGUAACACGUAUGUAACCUACCUUUAUCAGGGGGAUAGCCUCUCGAAAGAGAGAUUAAGCCCGCAUAAAAUCACAGCACAGCAUUGUGUAAUGAUCAAAUAUUUAUAGGAUAAAGAUGGGCAUGCGGAACAUUGCUAGAUGGCGGGGUAACGGCCCACCAUGGCGACGAUGUUUAGGGGAUCUGAGAGGAUGGCCCCCCACACUGGUACUGAGACACGGACCAGACUCCUACGGGAGGCAGCAGUAAGGAAUAUUGGUCAAUGGGCGGAAGCCUGAACCAGCCAUGCCGCGUGCAGGAAGACGGCCCUACGGGUUGUAAACUGCUUUUAUACGGGAAUAAACCCAGAUACGUGUAUCUGGCUGACUGUACUGUAAGAAUAAGGAUCGGCUAACUCCGUG